rnacentral:lncRNA from 1 species
UAUGUGGUUUUUAGCUUGAUUCUGACCAAUGCUUAUAUUCCAAAUAUAUAUGUAUAUGCCUCUAUUAUUGUUGUUGUUACCAAUUAUGUAAAUCAAUUGUAUCUGAUUUUAUGCCCUUUAUGGGCCCUGUAAUUUGGGAAAUAAAAAUAUUCUAUUCUAUUCUAUUCUAUACUAAAGGAAAGAAUUGUUAAUGUAAAACUUUUAAAUAUUUCAUUGCAUUUAAUAGAAAACAGUAAUAUAAUUAGUGUAAAUAAAAAGCAAAGAUUGUUUGUCACCCCUCCCCCGACUUUAUCAAACUCGUAGAUCGAAAAAAAUUACCGACAACACCAUGGCUAAAAAAAAAACAUCAAUUAAAACAGACCGCCACGAAAUAGCACAAUAGUGCAGAAAGUGGCAUUUAACGCCAAUCUAUCAAUUGAUUGCUGAACAGAAUUCCACGAGUACAAGUUAUAAGAAUGUAAUGGCACAAACCGUAUAGACAAGAAGAUUUCUGUCGAGCUAUAAAGGGGCCGCAUUUGUUAUAGACUACUUCAAAGACAUAUACGAUGGAAUAUAGAUUUUCGAGGUUAACCUAUUUCUCUAAUUUUUCUUUGCAUUAUUUGUCUCCAUUUGGUAAUUGAUUCGUUUAUUUUCCUUAUUGUAGAGUGGGGUGCUCAUUUUCGCCAUAUCUUUCCAUGUUUUCUACAGUUUAUGUUCAGGUCUAUAUGUUUUUGAAGUAUACUGAUAUUUCUAUACGAAGAUAACUUCAAAUGCAAAACAAUCCUAAGCUUGAAAACAUGUUUGUUUGAAAAUAAUCAUCUGUAAAGUUAGAUUAAAAGGUGUUUGAAAUUUCCUGAAGUUUUGUCAAUGGUGGAC